GACAGAGGGUGCAAGCGUUGUUCGGAAUUACUGGGCGUAAAGCGCGUGUAGGCGGCAACGCAAGUCGGGCGUGAAAUCCCACGGCUCAACCGUGGAAGUGCACUCGAAACUGCGUAGCUAGAGUCCUGGAGAGGAAGGUGGAAUGCUUGGUGUAGAGGUGAAAUUCGUAGAUAUCAAGCGGAACACCGGUGGCGAAGGCGGCCUUCUGGACAGUGACUGACGCUGAGAUGCGAAAGCGUGGGGAGCAAACAGG
rnacentral:rRNA from 1 species